rnacentral:tRNA from 1 species
UUCUAAUAUGGCAGAUUAGUGCAUUGGA